AGAGUUUGAUCAUGGCUCAGAUUAAACGCUGGCGGCAUGCCUUACACAUGCAAGUCGAACGGCAGCACGGGGGCAACCCUGGUGGCGAGUGGCGGACGGGUGAGUAAAGCAUCGGAACGUAUCCUGGAGUGGGGAUAACGUAGCGAAAGUUACGCUAAUACCGCAUAUUCUGUGAGCAGGAAAGCAGGGGAUCGCAAGACCUUGCGCUCUGGGAGCGGCCGAUGUCGGAUUAGCUAGUUGGUGGGGUAAAGGCCUACCAAGGCGACGAUCCGUAGCGGGUCUGAGAGGAUGAUCCGCCACACUGGGACUGAGACACGGCCCAGACUCCUACGGGAGGCAGCAGUGGGGAAUUUUGGACAAUGGGCGGAAGCCUGAUCCAGCCAUGCCGCGUGAGUGAAGAAGGCCUUCGGGUUGUAAAGCUCUUUCGGCGGGGAAGAAAUUGCACGGGUUAAUACCCUGUGUAGAUGACGGUACCCGAAUAAGAAGCACCGGCUAACUACGUG
rnacentral:rRNA from 1 species